CCAAUAGCGUAUAUUAAAGUUGUUGCAGUUAAAAAGCUCGUAGUUGAAUUUUAGGCCUGACCGGACGGUCCGUCUUUGGCGAGUACUGUUCUGUUGUCGGGUCUAUCCUUCUGGUGAGCCGGUAUGCCCUUUAUUGGGUGUGUCGGGGAACCAGGACCAUUACCUUGAAAAAAUUAGAGUGUUUAAAGCGGGCUUUUGCUUGAAUAGAUUAGCAUGGAAUAAUAGAAUAGGACGUUGGUUCUAUUUUGUUGGUCUAGGACCACCGUAAUGAUUAAUAGGGAUAGUUGGGGGCAUUAGUAUUCAAUUGUCAGAGGUGAAAUUCUUGGAUUUAUUGAAGACUAACUACUGCGAAAGCAUUUGCCAAGGAUGUUUUCAUUAAUCAAGAACGAAAGUUAGGGGAUCGAAGACGAUCAGAUACCGUCGUAGUCUUAACCAUAAACUAUGCCGACUAGGAAUCGGGCGACGUUAUUUUUUAAUGACUCGUUUGGCACCUUACG
rnacentral:misc_RNA from 1 species